AAAUUGAAGAGUUUGAUCAUGGCUCAGAUUGAACGCUGGCGGCAGGCCUAACACAUGCAAGUCGAGCGGUAGCACAGAGAGCUUGCUCGGGUAGCGGACGGGUAAAUGUCUGGAAACGCCUGAUGGAGGAUAACUACUGAAACGGUAGCUAAUAUAAUGUCGAAGACCAGUGGGGACCUUCGCCCUUGCCAUCAGAUGUACCAGAUGGGAUUAGUAUAGGUGGGUAACGGCUCACCAGGCGACGAUCCUAGCUGGUCUGAAGGAUGACCACUGGAACUGAGACGGUCCGACUCCACGGAGGCAGCAGUGGGGUAUUGCAAAAAGCCUGAGGACGCCGCGUGUGAAGAAGGCCUUCGGGUUGUACACUUCAGCGGAGAAGGCGUUAAGGUUAAUAACCUUGCGAUUUUACCCGCAAGAAUCAUUAACUCCGCCAGCAGCCGCGGUAAUACGAGGUGCAGCAAUCGGAAUUACUGGGCGGCGCACGGCGGUCAUCAAGUCCUGAAAUCCGUCAACCUGGGAACUGCAUUCGAAACUGGCAGGCCAAGUCCUAGAGGGGUAAAUUCCUAGCGUUGAAAUGUAGAUCUGGAGAAUACCGGUGGAGGCGCCCCCGACAAGACUGACGCUCAGGUGGAGCGUGGGGAAUUAGAUACCGGUAGUCCACGCCGUAAACGAUGUCGAUUUGGAGGUCCUUGAGGCGUGGUUUCCGGAUAACGCGUUAAAUCGACCGCCCGGGAGUACGCUGGUUAAAAAAUAUGACGGGCCCGCAUGCGGUGGAGCAUGGUUUAACGAUGCGGAGAACCCACCGUCUUGACAUCCACGAACUUUCCGAGAUGGAUUGGUGCCUUCGAACUGUGAACAGGUGCUGCAUGGCUGUCGUCAGCUGUGUUGUGAAAUGUUGGUUAUCCAACGAGCGCAACCUUAUCCUUGUUGCCAGCGGUUGGGCGGGAAUCAGGAGUGCCAGUGAUAAACUGAGAGGGGAUGACGUCCAUCGGCCCUUACGACCGGGCUACACGCUACAAUGGCAUAUACAAAGAGAAGCGACUGCGAUAAGCGACCCAUAGUAUGUCGUAGUCCGGAUUGGAGUUGCAACUGACUCCAUGAAGUCGGAAUCCUAGUAAUCGUAGAUCAGAAUGCUACGGUGAAUACGUUCGGCUUUCACCGCCGCCCGUCACACCAUGGGUGGGUUGCAAAAAGUAGUAGCUUAACCUUCGGGAGGCGCUACCACUUUGUGAUCAUCAGUGAAGUCGAUCACAGUAAUCCGUAGGAACCUGCGGUUGAUCCCUCCUUACCUUAAAGA
rnacentral:rRNA from 1 species